rnacentral:lncRNA from 1 species
UUUACCUUACUUCCUUUCUUUUCUUUUUCUUUGGACAGAACCAUCACAAUCAAACUUUAAUUUUGAUUGUCAUACACUCAAUUACACAUUACCCUAUUAUUAUAUUGAGGAGCACAUGGUGUAGAACAACCCAUUUCUGAUUUCUUAUAAAGAGACCAAUAUGAUUUUAUUAUCAAACCACACUAAAAUACACAUACACCCAAAAGUCUAAUCUAAGUUCAAGAGUUCAAGUUCGAAGUUCAGUGCUUUCAAAAUCCAUCUCUUUGCUUGAAUCAAAGUUCAAUGACUUAAUGUUGGUUCGCAUAAGUUUUGAGGACGACCCGAUUUGUGGAUUCUCUUUUGCUUGCUAAACUAAGGUACGGAUUCCCAUUUCUGACAUCAUAGUAUUUUUAUCCUAUCCGUCACUUUGCAGUGCGGAUUUUUGUGUGUCCCUGUUAGCCGUUUGAUAUGUGAUGCGAACCAGUCUGGUAUUGUUUGUAUGAUUAUUAGAGUGAUGUAGCAUGCCAUACCUUAGACUUGUACUCAUGGUCGCAUGU